rnacentral:rRNA from 1 species
AGUGAACGCUGGCGGUAGGCCUAACACAUGCAAGUCGAACGGCAGCACAGUAAGAGCUUGCUCUUACGGGUGGCGAGUGGCGGACGGGUGAGGAAUACAUCGGAAUCUACUUUUUCGUGGGGGAUAGCGUAGGGAAACUUACGCUAAUACCGCAUACGACCUACGGGUGAGAGCAGGGGAUCUUCGGACCUUGCGCGAUUGAAUGAGCCGAUGUCGGAUUAGCUAGUUGGCGGGGUAAAGGCCCACCAAGGCGACGAUCCGUAGCUGGUCUGAGAGGAUGAUCAGCCACACUGGAACUGAGACACGGUCCAGACUCCUACGGGAGGCAGCAGUGGGGAAUAUUGGACAAUGGGCGCAAGCCUGAUCCAGCCAUACCGCGUGGGUGAAGAAGGCCUUCGGGUUGUAAAGCCCUUUUGUUGGGAAAGAAAAGCAGCAGGUUAAUACCCCGCUGUUCUGACGGUACCCAAAGAAUAAGCACCGGCUAACUUCGUG